AUUGAACGCUAGCGGCUUGCUUAACACAUGCAAGUCGAACGAGUGGCGAACGGGUGAGUAAUGCUUAGGAAUAUAGAUUAUGGAGGGGGAUAAAUACUGGAAACUGUAACUACUACCGCGUAACAUCGGAUGAACACACGUGGGAUUAGGUAGUUGGGGCUGUAAAGGCUCACCAAGCCGACGAUCUCUAGCUGGUCUGAGAGGAUGGCCAGCCACCCGGGGGCUUGGACCCGGCCCAGUCUCCUCCGUGAGGCAGAAGUGGGGAAUAUUGCGCAAUGGGGGCAACCUGAUGCAUCCAUGUCUCGUGAAGGAAGAAGGCCUUCGGGUUGUAAAGUUCUUUCGGUAUCGAGGCGUUAACUACAGAAGAAGCACCGGCUAACUCCGUGCCAGCAGCCGCGGUAAUUC
rnacentral:rRNA from 1 species